rnacentral:rRNA from 1 species
GACAGAGGGUGCAAACGUUGUUCGGAAUUACUGGGCGUAAAGCGCGUGUAGGCGGCCCUGCAAGUCGGAUGUGAAAUCCCACGGCUCAACCGUGGAAGUGCAUUCGAAACUGCAGGGCUAGAGUCCUGGAGAGGAAGGUGGAAUGCUUGGUGUAGAGGUGAAAUUCGUAGAUAUCAAGCGGAACACCGGUGGCGAAGGCGGCCUUCUGGACAGUGACUGACGCUGAGACGCGAAAGCGUGGGGAGCAAACGGGG